rnacentral:rRNA from 1 species
UACGUAGGGUGCGAGCGUUGUCCGGAAUUACUGGGCGUAAAGAGCUCGUAGGUGGUUUGUCGCGUCGUCUGUGAAAUUCCGGGGCUUAACUUCGGGCGUGCAGGCGAUACGGGCAAUACUUGAGUGCUGUAGGGGAGACUGGAAUUCCUGGUGUAGCGGUGAAAUGCGCAGAUAUCAGGAGGAACACCGAUGGCGAAGGCAGGUCUCUGGGCAGUAACUGACGCUGAGGAGCGAAAGCAUGGGUAGCGAACAGGAUUAGAUA